rnacentral:rRNA from 1 species
GACGAACGCUGGCGGCGUGCCUAAUACAUGCAAGUAGAACGCUGAAGGAGGAGCUUGCUCUUCUGGAUGAGUUGCGAACGGGUGAGUAACGCGUAGGUAACCUGCCUGGUAGCGGGGGAUAACUAUUGGAAACGAUAGCUAAUACCGCAUAACAGUAGAUGUUGCAUGACAUUUGCUUAAAAGGUGCAAUUGCACCACUACCAGAUGGACCUGCGUUGUAUUAGCUAGUUGGUGGGGUAACGGCUCACCAAGGCGACGAUACAUAGCCGACCUGAGAGGGUGAUCGGCCACACUGGGACUGAGACACGGCCCAGACUCCUACGGGAGGCAGCAGUAGGGAAUCUUCGGCAAUGGACGGAAGUCUGACCGAGCAACGCCGCGUGAGUGAAGAAGGUUUUCGGGUCGUAAAGCUCUGUUGUAAGAGAAGAACGAGUGUGAGAGUGGAAAGUUCACACUGUGACGGUAUCUUACCAGAAAGGGACGGCUAACUACGUG